UCACAAACUUCAAACAAGAAGCAUUUGGCUUUGGGACACCUCAUACCUCUUGCUAAGCAGUCCCAACUCCUGGCAGCCUGCCUCAGUUUACAGCGUGAUCUCUUCUGGGUACCUCCAAGCCCACUACAAGUACCAACCAUCUGCAUAUCAUUUUGUAGCUCAUACCAGGUGGCCCUGGUUUGGGCACAGGCAUCAGCUGACCUAGGCCUGCAUUUUCUUCCAGGAGGCCCCGGAGGCAGUGUACCUAGUGGACAUCUUCAGACCACAUUGAAGCACCAGCCAACCUCUCCCACAAGAGACACACUCAAGGGGUGGACUCAGCAGGCACCAGAGACCUUCUGAAGAACAAAGCACUUGAUGAAGUGCAAUGUGGAUCCCUUAAAAGAGGCAGAUGCAUGAAGUUUGGAGCAGUAAAUAAACUUGGAAUUUUGCAGUACAGAGAAAAAGGAGUAAAAGAGGAAGAGAAAAAGCAA